GACGAACGCUGGCGGCGUGCUUAACACAUGCAAGUCGAACGGAAAGGCCCUGCUUUUGUGGGGUGCUCGAGUGGCGAACGGGUGAGUAACACGUGAGUAACCUGCCCUUGACUUUGGGAUAACUUCAGGAAACUGGGGCUAAUACCGGAUAGGAGUUCCUGCUGCAUGGUGGGGGUUGGAAAGUUUCGGCGGUUGGGGAUGGACUCGCGGCUUAUCAGCUUGUUGGUGGGGUAGUGGCUUACCAAGGCUUUGACGGGUAGCCGGCCUGAGAGGGUGACCGGCCACAUUGGGACUGCGAUACGGCCCAGACUCCUACGGGAGGCAGCAGUGGGGAAUAUUGCACAAUGGGCGGAAGCCUGAUGCAGCAACGCCGCGUGCGGGAUGACGGCCUUCGGGUUGUAAACCGCUUUCGCCUGUGACGAAGCGUGAGUGACGGUAAUGGGUAAAGAAGCACCGGCUAACUACGUG
rnacentral:rRNA from 1 species